ensembl:lncRNA
GGCUGCACAUGAGAAUCACCUGGAAGCAUUUACAAAUUUCAACAUAGCGGCCAAAGCACUGGGUGAGGGCAAUGCUUUUCAAGGUUCCAUAGUUGGUUCCAGUGUGCAGUUCCGUGAGACCACCACAAUGCGUGGGAAGAGUUUAUUACAGGAAGACAGAACUAAUAUCUGUCAGCUUCUCUUAUCAGCUAAAAAUUAAAGAAGGCAACUUCUCUUCUUCUUAAAAAAUUACAACCCACAGCUAUUGUCAGUAUAAUCAUUCAAGGUCUAUGCCAUUUCCUCUAUCUGAGCCAAUGCCAAAGUUAAAAGAAAGAGCUACAAGAGACAUUUCUUAGAGGUCUUCAGACUGGGCUUUCCCCUUCAAGAAACAGGAGAGCUCCUUUGGAUAUUCUGCCUUCUGUGGACAGAAGAAAUCAGAAGUCUAUGACCUGGAAGAUGUUCCUCACCAGAUGAUGCUGGAACCCUCAUUUCAGACUUACAACUUCCCGAGCUGUGAGAAAUAAAUUUCUGUGCUUUUAAC